rnacentral:lncRNA from 1 species
CAUGGCAUAGCCUCUGCCAAAAUGAAGCGUUUAUUUUUAGAACUUUAUCUUAAGAAAAUCAUCAGACAAAAGAUGUAUAUUUGCAAAGAUGUAUAUUUCCUAAAGUGUAGUUGGAGAACUGUCAGCAUCAAUAUCACUUGUAACACUUGAUAAAAUGCAUAUUCCUGGGUCUUAUGCCUUUCUUCUUGAUGCAGAAUCUCUGAAUGUGGGGACCAGCCAUUCAAAUAUUUAAAAUACCUCAGACGAUUCUUAGUCACAUUAAAGUUUUAUAUUCAGGGACAUGUUUCAGUAUAAUUUCAAAGAGGAACAAAAGGAAGGGAUCUGAUAACAUUUUUGUUUCUAAAUAUGUGUGUAGGUGGUGCCAGAAAAUAAAGAGUGCUUGUCUCUGGAUGAUAUCCUUAUUUUUCGUUGCUUUCUUCUAUAUUUUCUGAUUUCUUUUUGCAUUGAACAUGUAUCACCUUUUUAUUCUAAUAACUCAGUAAAAACUUUUUUUUAAGAAGGUAUUUGAUAUUCUAUUUCCUGGACAGGUACUCCAGUUGUAUUGUCCCAGUGAAAUUUGUGGCUGGUUAAUUCAGAAGAGAACACUGACUACCUGAUCCUCUUAAGAUGUGAAAUAUCUUGAAGACAUCCCUCUGUUGGUCCAUAGAUCACUCAAUAUUGCCCCUGGAGUAGAACCUUCUGAACACAGUGAAAGUUUCUGCCAGCUGCCCCUGAAGAGAAAGAUGGAAUAAACCAGCAAAGCCUGGGGUGAGGUGCAAGUAUUUCCAGCAUGGAAUUCCCAGCAUGGUAGAAUACCAUGAAGGUGUACAACAAAAUGCUCUGUUCCACCUGCACACAAGUGGGAAUGUGUCUUCUCCCCUGGGAUGACAUUGUCUUAAGAACUCUGCUACUGCUUCCCAAACAUCCUUCUAAAGUCCUCAGGUCAGCUGUCUCCACUCCUGAGGUCAUCACUCAUCAAGAGGGGAUAAUCCCAAGGACAGCAGGAUCUGCUUCGUCACUUGGAUUUAGGAGUGAGAAACCCAUCAGGCAACUAAACAGUAACAAUGACCCGCCAUUAAACACACUGAGAGAAGAGCAUGAUGAGGAGAUUGUACAAGAAGAAUCCCAGGGCUCUUGCUGACAACGCCUAUGGAGUCACUGACCACU